rnacentral:lncRNA from 1 species
AAUUCGACGGACUCGCUGGGAAGGGAAAAUAAUCGGGAACGCUGCUGGAGGCUGCUGGGGUGGAGGCGCGCCCUCGCCAGCGCCGUACAGUGGCGAACGGGACGUGCGGACGUCCUCCUCUGAUCCGGACUGUGUAUUAUUAUAUAUAUAUAUAUAUAUAUAUAUAUAUAGCAUGAAGUGUGAUAGCAAUUAUAACAUUUUAUUUCCUUUUGGCCAAAUAAUUAAGUAAUCUCAAAUUCUCAAUACAUGAACGUCUAUUCUAAACCAUGUCUUUAUUCAGUAUGUUUUCUCCUCUCACAAUAGCAUACAAGACAACACAGUGUGGAUAUCGAAAAAGAAAUGGGUAUACAUAUGCUUAGCCCUAGAAACCUUGACGUAUUGAACCAACCUUCGGCCAUAAGAAGGAAACUCUAUUCUAGGAGAAAUACCAUGAUCAAAUCCGUUACCUAGGGCAUCUAGCUAGUUGUUCAGUAAUUGCAAAUCCAGUUAUCCAUACACGCAAACAUUUCACCUGUUGUUCGACAUUUCAAAUCCGUGAAAAUCCCGACUCCCCUCGCCAACCUUCAAAGCAAGCAAACCUCAAAAGCUAGCUGAAGAUGAAGAUCUGAUCAUCGAGGUGGCCAAAACCAAAAUGGGAGAAUAUCGUCCUGGGAUUUCAUUGUUUUCUUCUGUUUAACCACUGCUGUGACAAGAAGAAGGCAAUAGGAAUAGCCUUGACAACUUCACCACCUUCACCACCACCUCUCUCAAAUUAGCCAAACGCCAUGUCCCAUCUUCUGCUGUCAAAUUGCAUAUAAUAUUUGUGUGCUGGAGACGACUUUUGCAUGCAGAUUGAUGAGCAGAUUUGAUAUUAAGAUAUAAAGCCUGUUUUGGUUUUUGGGGUCUCUCAAAAGCGAGCACGAUGUGUCAAAAUCCAAUUGUGUCAAUCUCUUCCAAAACCCACCACACACCAUUGAGAUGUGAUGGAUUGGAUUGGAUGGAUGGGAUUGCUGAAGGGAUUCAUGCAUGCUCUAAUUCAUCAUUUCGUCUGUUACAACUUUCCCAACCCCGUUUUCCAAAUCGUCCCAGAAGGGCCUAUAGAGGCUUAUUGCAUAAUCAAUCACCACAUGUCGAUGAAGUUCUACUAAUCUUCUACUGUUUCGGAGUUUCGACGUGUUUGUGAAAAUUAUAUACAGAAUCGUAUCGAAUGAAUUUGUCUAACAAGUUUCGCUAUUGCAGCACUAGAGAGUGUUACGGGACAUUCAAAUUAAGGGACGGACUUAGAAUCCAAACUGUGAGCUAGAAUCCAACACUAUAUGAAAGGCCAAGGCUCUGCUCGUUGUGUAAAAUCAAAGUAAUGAAUGCACUGGAACAACCAUUUGUAGCCCUUUUCAGUUUUCCCUUUACCCUCUCCACAAUUUUUGAUGGGAAAAAAGUCUACUUCAAGCAAGAUUUGCUUGGCUACACUGUAGGGCAUCCAGCGUCAAUAUGGUAAAAAAGCUGAGGUCACAAGCUAUCUCACCCCACUCUGAUUAUAACACACACAAAAAAAAAAUUCAAAAACAUGGGAUAUUGAUCAGAUAUGCAAUCUCUUGUUUUUCUAAUUUAGUUCUCUGAAAAUGGACCAAAUGAUGGCAACAGUUUUGUUGGUUUUGUAAUGAACAAAAUGCUCCAACAGUGUAACUUAAUGGAAGUUUUCACCUAACCAUGCAUUUUUUGUCUAAUGGGUAAAAAUAGUGGGCAAUGUUACUCUUAAUUAACUAGCAUGUAAAUGUGAAGUGAGAUCGAGCAGAAAAAGGGUGAUCCAGAAACAGUGUUAAAAUUAAAUUUACAGCAGCAGUAGUUUAC